AGACGGAGGAUGCAAGUGUUAUCCGGAAUCACUGGGCGUAAAGCGUCUGUAGGUGGUUUGAUAAGUCAACUGUUAAAUCUUGAAGCUCAACUUCAAAAUCGCAGUCGAAACUAUUAGACUAGAGUAUAGUAGGGGUAAAGGGAAUUUCCAGUGGAGCGGUGAAAUGCGUAGAUAUUGGAAAGAACACCGAUGGCGAAGGCACUUUACUGGGCUAUUACUGACACUCAGAGACGAAAGCUAGGGUAGCAAAUGGGAUUAGAUACCCCAGUAGUCCUAGCCGUAAACAAUGGAUACUAGAUGUUGAACAGAUCGACCUGUGCAGUAUUAAAGCUAACGCGUUAAGUAUCCCGCCUGGGAAGUAUGCUCGCAAGAGUGAA
rnacentral:rRNA from 1 species